rnacentral:rRNA from 1 species
CGAUGAGUAGGGCGGGACACGUGGUAUCCUGUCUGAAUAUGGGGGGACCAUCCUCCAAGGCUAAAUACUCCUGACUGACCGAUAGUGAACCAGUACCGUGAGGGAAAGGCGAAAAGAACCCCGGCGAGGGGAGUGAAAAAGAACCUGAAACCGUGUACGUACAAGCAGUGGGAGCACAGGUUUACCUGUGUGACUGCGUACCUUUUGUAUAAUGGGUCAGCGACUUAUAUUCUGUAGCAAGGUUAACCGAAUAGGGGAGCCGGAGGGAAACCGAGUCUUAAYYGGGCGUUAAGUUGCAGGGUAUAGACCCGAAACCCGGUGAUCUAGCCAUGGGCAGGUUGAAGGUUGGGUAACACUAACUGGAGGACCGAACCGACUAAUGUUGAAAAAUUAGCGGAUGACCUGUGGCUGGGGGUGAAAGGCCAAUCAAACCGGGAGAUAGCUGGUUCUCCCCGAAAGCUAUUUAGGUAGCGCCUCGUGAAUUCAUCUCCGGGGGUAGAGCACUGUUUCGGCUAGGGGGCCAUCCCGGCUUACCAACCCGAUGCAAACUGCGAAUACCGGAGAAUGUUAUCACGGGAGACACACGGCGGGUGCUAACGUCCGUCGUGAAGAGGGAAACAACCCAGACCGCCAGCUAAGGUCCCAAAGUCAUGGUUAAGUGGGAAACGAUGUGGGAAGGCCCAGACAGCCAGGAUGUUGGCUUAGAAGCAGCCAUCAUUUAAAGAAAGCGUAAUAGCUCACUGGUCGAGUCGGCCUGCGCGGAAGAUGUAACGGGGCUAAACCAUGCACCGAAGCUGCGGCAGCGA